CCAUCGGUGGUUCAGUGGUAGAAUGCUCGCCUGCCACGCGGGCUUCGGUGUUCGGUUCAUGGCCGAUGCA
rnacentral:tRNA from 1 species